GACGAACGCUGGCGGCGUGCUUAACACAUGCAAGUCGAACGCUGAAGCUCAGCUUUUGUUGGGUGGAUGAGUGGCGAACGGGUGAGUAACACGUGAGUAACCUGCCCCCUUCUUUGGGAUAACGCCCGGAAACGGGUGCUAAUACUGGAUAUUCACUGGUCUUCGCAUGGGGGUUGGUGGAAAGGGUUUUUCUGGUGGGGGAUGGGCUCGCGGCCUAUCAGCUUGUUGGUGGGGUGAUGGCCUACCAAGGCUUUGACGGGUAGCCGGCCUGAGAGGGUGACCGGUCAGAUUGGGACGGAGAUACGGCCCAGACUCCUACGGGAGGCAGCAGUGGGGAAUAUUGCACAAUGGGCGCAAGACUGAUGCAGCGACGCCGCGUGAGGGAUGGAGGCCUUCGGGUUGUGAACCUCUUUCGCUCAUGGUCAAGCCGCAACAAUGGUUGUGGUGAGGGUAGUGGGUAAAGAAGCGCCGGCUAACUACGUG
rnacentral:rRNA from 1 species